rnacentral:lncRNA from 1 species
AGCAGAACAGCUUUCCUGAUGGAUACAGGUUAGACAUAGAGGAUUCAGGAGAGCAGUUCAAUAGACAGAGAGAUAGAAUGCUCCAAAUUAUUGCAGUGGAGCAAGGGAGGUGAGGUGAUGAGUGAUGAGUGAGGACCCAGGAGGGCUGAGCAAAGAUGAGUCUGACAUUGAUGACCAAAUUGUGAUCCCAAGAAAUGAAUACUUUCAGCCGAGUCAGCUACCUCAUGAGUUUGAGAGGUCAGAUGUUCCUGUAACUCUACCAUUUCUCAGAGGGAAUGUUAUAUUACUACAAGAGAAACCACCAGUUGCAUUCUUCAACCAAAGGGAAACCUACAUCAAACUUUCCUGGACAUCUAAACUUGGGGUGGAGUCAAGAUGGCAGCUUAGCAAGCAGCAAAAGUACAGACCUCGUGGAAGACCCUUCCUUACUGAUACAGACUGAAUGCUACUAGGGCACUGAAAUUCA